CCUACGGGUGGCAGCAGUGGGGAAUAUUGCGCAAUGGGCGAAAGCCUGACGCAGCGACGCCGCGUGAGGGAUGAAGGUCUUCGGAUCGUAAACCUCUGUUAGCAGGGAAGAACGGUCACUGUGCUAAUCUGCAGUGAAUUGACGGUACCUGCAAAGGAAGCACAGGCUAACUCCGUGCCAGCAGCCGCGGUAAUACGGAGGGUGCGAGCGUUAAUCGGAAUUAUUGGGUGUAAAGCGUUCGUAGGCGGUAUGUUAAGUCAAGGGUGAAAUCCCCGCGCUCAACGUGGGAACUGCCUUUGAUACUGGCAAACUGGAGAGUGUAAGAGGAUAGUGGAAUUCCAGGUGUAGGAGUGAAAUCCGUAGAUAUCUGGAGGAACACCAGUGGCGAAGGCGACUAUCUGGCACAUAACUGACGCUGAGGAGCGAAAGCGUGGGUAGCAAACAGGAUUAGAUACCCUAGUAGUC
rnacentral:rRNA from 1 species